UACGAAGGGGGCUAGCGUUGCUCGGAAUCACUGGGCGUAAAGCGCACGUAGGCGGAUUUCUAAGUUAGGGGUGAAAUCCUGGAGCUCAACUCCAGAACUGCCUUUGAUACUGGGAAUCUUCGAGUCCGGGAGAGGUGAGUGGAACUGCGAGUGUAGAGGGUGAAAUUCGUAGAUAUUCGCAAGAACACCAGUGGCGAAGGCGGACUCACUGGCCCGGUACUGACGCUGAGGUGCGAAAGCGUGGGAGCG
rnacentral:rRNA from 1 species